GGUUAAGCGACUAAGCGUACACGGUGGAUGCCCUGGCAGUCAGAGGCGAUGAAGGACGUGCUAAUCUGCGAUAAGCGUCGGUAAGGUGAUAUGAACCGUUAUAACCGGCGAUUUCCGAAUGGGGAAACCCAGUGUGUUUCGACACACUAUCAUUAACUGAAUCCAUAGGUUAAUGAGGCGAACCGGGGGAACUGAAACAUCUAAGUACCCCGAGGAAAAGAAAUCAACCGAGAUUCCCCCAGUAGCGGCGAGCGAACGGGGAGCAGCCCAGAGCCUGAAUCAGUGUGUGUGUUAGUGGAAGCGUCUGGAAAGGCGCGCGAUACAGGGUGACAGCCCCGUACACAAAAAUGCACAUACUGUGAGCUCGAUGAGUAGGGCGGGACACGUGGUAUCCUGUCUGAAUAUGGGGGGACCAUCCUCCAAGGCUAAAUACUCCUGACUGACCGAUAGUGAACCAGUACCGUGAGGGAAAGGCGAAAAGAACCCCGGCGAGGGGAGUGAAAAAGAACCUGAAACCGUGUACGU
rnacentral:rRNA from 1 species